CCCUUAGAUGUUCUGGGCUGCACGCGCGCUACACUGAUGCAUGCAACGAGUUUUCGACCUUGCCUGAAAAGGUUGGGUAAUCUGUUUAACAUGUGUCGUGAUGGGGAUAGACCAUUGCAAUUAUUGAUCUUCAACGAGGAAUUCCUAGUAAGCGCGAGUCAUCAGCUCGUGCUGAUUAUGUCCCUGCCCUUUGUACACACCGCCCGUCGCGCCUACCGAUUGAGUGAUCCGGUGAAUGAUUCGGACCAGCGUGCUGCUCAGAUCCUGCGCAGUGUGCUGGGAAGUCUAGUGAACCUUAUCACUUAGAGGAAGGAGAAGUCGUAACA
rnacentral:rRNA from 1 species